AGUAAUGCACCUGGUUUAGAUAACAUGACCUUUCCUCUGGUGCCACCUUCUGAUUAAACAAGCAACCACCUCUAUCAGACACCGCUUCAUUCCAGGCUCUCAUUCAACAACUUGUGCGACACGGGAGGUUUAUGUCGUCUCUCUGCAGCCACAGGAGUGAUGUUUGGAUGUGUGGGAACCUUUAACUGAAACCUUCAUAUUUUACAGGAAGGCACAUCUGCCGACCAUCUCAUCAGGACUUUCAUAUCAUUCUGAAGAGAAACUGGGCAAACUUUGCUUCACUGAAACGGUGAAAUCACACUGAGGAGAUCAGAAUGUCAGAAUACCAGAACAAUCUAAAUGGGGAGGAAAACUCCCCACUGAGUCAUGUACCAGGAACAGGUGUUGAACAACCAGAGGACACUAGCAAUGAAGUAAUCGGCAUCAGUGAGGAGCCUCCUGCGUGCUGCUGCAAUGACAAGUACCACAGGAAACUGGCCAUUGCUAGCAUUGUCUGUGGAUUCUCCUGCUGUGGAGUCCCAUCUUUGGUUUAUUCUGUCAAGGCUGAGAAUGCUGAGAAGGCCAAGAGGACGACAGACAAGAAAUCCACAAAGUAUUUACAAGAGGCCAAAAAAUGGGGCAUCAUCUCCAUUGUGAUGUGGGUUUGCCUCCUGGUUUCAGCUUCAUUGGUGCUGGUGCUGGUGCUACUGCUACUGGUACCAGACUGCACACAACUAGGGGAAAUCUGCUGAUUUCUGAUGUUUAUGGAGACAAGCAGUGGACAGAACAAAGCUGCUGAGUCAACAACUAUGAAUACUGAAGCUGUGGAGAAACUAAAUAUUACAUUAAACAGAAAAAGAGACUAUAUUAGUUUUUUCUGUGCUGAAAGGGUUGUUGCCCUCAUUUACAUUUUUCUAGUUCCUUUAGUUUUUACACAAAGAGCAAAUAUAGCUGAAAAUGCUCUUAAAUAUCUUACAACUCUUUUUAUGCUGUAAUUUUUAUUUGACAAUAUAUGGACAUGUGGACGUAUUCAAAUGUAAAAAUCCAGCGCUGCCUAGUUAAGAGAAAAUGACACUACAUUACACAUUCUAUAUAUAUAUAUAUAUCUAUAUAUCUAUCUAUCUAUCCAUAUCUAUAUCUAUCUAUCUAUCUAUAAUAUUAUAUUAUACCGGUUACUCUCCAGUAAUGACGCAAUCCUUAAUAUUUUUUUACCAUUAAACUUUAAUAUUGUUAGAGUAAAUAACUACAGAUGCUACAAAAGUUAAAUCAAUCUGACUCUAAAAUAACAACAUAUACUUCAGGACUGAGUCUGAGUCUCUGGAGAUAUAAUGUGUGGCAGUGAUCAGGGCAGUACUUCACCAGGACAUUAUUAGAUCCUGUUCUUGGUGUACCUCAUUGGCAUUAUUGCAUUGCUAUCGUUUUAUCUUUAUUAAUGUCAAAUGUAUAUAUGUGCUGUACUUUUAUACAAACAUUAACAGAAACACUUUUAUAAUA